AUUGAACGCUGGCGGCAUGCUUUACACAUGCAAGUCGAACGGUAACAGGCCGCAAGGUGCUGACGAGUGGCGAACGGGUGAGUAAUGCAUCGGAACGUGCCCAGUCGUGGGGGAUAACGCAGCGAAAGCUGCGCUAAUACCGCAUACGAUCGAUGGAUGAAAGCGGGGGACCGUAAGGCCUCGCGCGAUUGGAGCGGCCGAUGUCAGAUUAGGUAGUUGGUGGGGUAAAGGCUCACCAAGCCGACGAUCUGUAGCUGGUCUGAGAGGACGACCAGCCACACUGGGACUGGGACACGGCCCAGACUCCUACGGGAGGCAGCAGUGGGGAAUUUUGGACAAUGGGGGCAACCCUGAUCCAGCAAUGCCGCGUGCAGGAAGAAGGCCUUCGGGUUGUAAACUGCUUUUGUACGGAACGAAACGGCUCUGGUUAAUACCUGGGGCUAAUGACGGUACCGUAAGAAUAAGCACCGGCUAACUACGUGCCAGCAGCCGCCGUAA
rnacentral:rRNA from 1 species